rnacentral:lncRNA from 1 species
GAACUGUGGCUGAUGUUUGAAUAGUCCUCUCAUCCAUACUUACAUAAAUAAUUAUGCAUUAUUUCUCUAAUCAAAAGUCUGGCAUCCACCACAAAAUGAAAUCCCAAGUUUCCCAGCAUAUCCCCAGCGUACCUUUGCAACCAGACCUUUCAUUAUCCUCCUACCCAUUUCUUUCAUCAAACUUAACUAUUUGCAGUCCCAGAAUUUUCCCUGGGAUUCACAAACCCACUGUUUCCUAUCUGCCUUAAACUAUUCCAAGUGCAUGGAAAAUUAUCUUUAAAAUGGAUUAUAUACUUUGUUUCAACUAAAAAUGCUCAAAUACUGUCUCCUGUAUGAAAUUGUCCAAGUUCAGCCUUAUCCCCACCCCAUCCAUGGGUUCUUUCCCUCCUCUAAUGAUUGUGAGCCCCUCACUCAUGUCCAGGUCUUCAUAAUGCUUUAUAUAAUGUCUGAAAUCCCCUGGAGGGCCAAGACCUGUGUUAUGGUCUUUGUAUGCCACAUAGCACCUACACAAUUUGCUGCACAAAGUAAGGACCUCUGUGAAAAAUGAAUUCUUACUCAAAUUGAUAAUUUAAAGAUUCUCUUUAAACACAACUUAAAUAUUACUUCUUCCCCCUCCCUUUUCUGAUUCUUAGCUCAAAUGUAGAUGACUGGUUAAACUGGGAAAAGAGUAAUAACUAUUAUUAUUUACAAGUACUAAACUGGUUUAGUUAAAGCUUCCCUCACAUGUCUGAGAGACACCCAUUGGCAACUUUGCAGAUAGAUCCACAGUCUCAGUUCUCUGUGCCUCAACAUUUAGCUCAUUGUAAUAUG